AAAGGAGACAAGAUUUUGCACAGCCAUGGCUGGAAACUUGGAAUAUGGAAAUAAGUAUCAUUUGACUUUGCUGUUUAGAUGCUGGCUUGGGGACCCACAGAGGCACUAAAGAACAGUAGUACAAAUUGCUUCUACGGAGAAAGAUAUCAAGACAGGCCAGUGAUUUAAAUGGAUGGAGAACAAGGAGAAAAUACUCAUCAAUGGAGAAUGAAGACUCUGGAAAAAAUCUUAUCUUCCCUUUAUGAAAAGCCAUUAUUUAGUCCAGGGUUAUCUUCUACAUCCAUGGAGAUCAUCCAGUUCCCAGAUGUUCAAUUUUGUGCACUGAAGCAGAGUCACUGGUAAGUCUUCCUUCCUCCCCUUUAACAUCUAGUUCCACAAAAUUUAACCCCCAUAUUUAUUUCCUAAAAUAACUAAUAUCAAG
rnacentral:lncRNA from 1 species